CCCUUAGAUGUCCUGGGCCGCACGCGCGGUACACUGAUGCAUUCAACGAGCUUAUAACCUUGGCCGAGAGGCCUGGGCAAUCUUGUUAACGUGCAUCGUGAUAGGGAUAGAUUAUUGAAAUUAUUAAUCUUGAACGAGGAAUUCCUAGUAAACGCAGAUCAUCAAUCUGCAUUGAUUACGUCCCUGCCCUUUGUACACACCGCCCGUCGCACCUACCGAUUGGAUGGUCCGGUGAAGCCUCGGGAUUGUGGUUCUUGCCGCUUUAUUGUGGCGUGACCGCGAGAACUUGUCUAAACCUUAUCAUCUAGAGGAAGGUGAAGUCGUAACA
rnacentral:rRNA from 1 species